rnacentral:tRNA from 1 species
GGAGCGAUGUCCGAGAGGCCGAAGGAGCCAGACUCGAAAUCUGGUGUGGGGCUUGUCCUCACCGUGGGUUCGAAUCCCACUCACUCCG